GUGGAGAGAGGUGGAGAGAGAGAGAGAGAGGAUUGACAAGUUGGCUUCUCGUGUGCGCCCCCAGUGUCUGGUCCUCCUGUCUCUGCUUCCAGGCGGGUCCCCAGGGUCAGGCUCCUCCAGCAGCAGUGGCCUUCUGACCGGGAAAUGGGCGGUGAGAAGGGAGCUGCUGACCGGUGUGGUGGGGAAGGCUCGGCGUCCAGGCAACAACUACUGGGACCAGGUGUGCGACCCGCAGUCCGUGGGCCGGGUUCUCAGUUCUGCAGAGCGGGUGACUGGCAAGAAGUUGAAAUGCCACCUUCUGAGCAGAAGUGAGACAUCCUGUCACAAAACUGAGAUAUGGCAAGGCCUUCCGCACACAGGUUGAAAAGGCCGUGAUGGGAGCAGGGCUGGCUAGAGCCUUAGGUGCAAUUGCUACUCUUGCAUAUUCUGCAAUGAAGAACUGAUCCCCAAACCAGUGACAGCCUGAAGAAGCCACGGAUCCUGACUUCCAAACCGCUGUGCAGCCGACCGGCCCCACCUCCGCUGUCUCCCUGACCCUGGCUCUCGGGCAGCGCCCAGUUCUGUCCCUCACUCUCCCUCUCACUGACUGAAGGAUGGAAGAAUUGUACCAAGACCCAGAAUGAAUUAAUGUAUCUGUCUUUCCCUUCACAAAGGAAUUCCACUGUGUGUUGUGUAGAUUUCUAAACCAGACAGGAAGCAGUUCAGCGCCUGUUGGGGACACCAGCAAGCUCUGGCCAUGUGGCCCUGGGUGACACUCCUGACUCCAAGGCCUCAAGUCCUUUUCUCCAAGAUGGGCAAGGGUCUGAGUCACAGUGACAGAGUGCAGGUCUGAUGAGCCGGUGGGUGGGAGACCCCUGCCCUGUCUGGUCUGAGGCAGGAGCUCAGAGCACCGUCUGUGUGGUUCUGUGCAGACCAACCCUUGUUCCUGUUGGACCUCAGUCCUUCCACUCUCUUGGGACAAAACACCAAACAUGAGAUUCUACCUCGUGGAGUCCUGCCCUCUGCCAACCGCUGGGAGUCCUGGGAUCUGCCGACCGCUGCCUGCGUGCUGGGGUUGGUCCGGCCGCUUUCUCCUGCAUGACCCCACUCUGCAAACCGCUAACUCCACCCCUCUUACCGGUCUGGCUGAAUGGUUCGUUGUUGUCGGACUUCUGUACAGUUCAAUUUUCUGUGUUUUGGUUGUGUUUUUAUUACUAAAACUUUGUUGACUUUAAACUUGGUUGUGCAAGGAAGCACAGUGUUUCCACCUAUGCCUCCAUCUUGGCUGGAAGACCCCAAAAAGUAACUAAUUUUUAUAAGGUAACAGAAGUAUUUCACAAUAUAUUGAUUUCUCUUUA